rnacentral:rRNA from 1 species
UACGUAGGGCGCAAGCGUUGUCCGGAAUUAUUGGGCGUAAAGAGCUCGUAGGCGGUUUGUCGCGUCUGUCGUGAAAGCUUGGGGCUUAACCCCAAGUCUGCGGUGGAUACGGGCAGACUAGAGGCAGGUAGGGGAGAACGGAAUUCCCGGUGUAGCGGUGAAAUGCGCAGAUAUCGGGAGGAACACCGGUGGCGAAGGCGGUUCUCUGGGCCUGUACUGACGCUGAGGCGCGAAAGCUAGGGGAGCAAACGGG